GGAUAACGCAAUCAUGAGGAAAAGGAACAACAUCUGCGCCCGAAACAGUGAUAAAAUACUUUGUCAAGUGUAACAAUUUGAAUAACUUGGAACAACGAAAAAUUUAAUCGAAUGGAAUGGAACCGAUGGAAUGUGUAUUCAUUGCUGGUCGCCUAUGAAUCGCCAACCGAAGUUGCUGAGAUGUUAUAAGUAUUGUGUUCGGACUUCGGGAAAUCAUGAAGUUUAUGAAUCUAACACGUUACAUUACAUUCCAUCUGUUCACCACAUAACCUCACUGGCUGAAUCAUGAAAAGUAAGGAAUCAUGGGCAAUUGUAGGAUUGUAAAUCCGCAUUGUUUGCGGUUCUAUGUUGUUUAUACGAUAAUUUCAUCCGCAACCAUGGCGUUGAGAUCAUAACAUUGCUAAUGAAUAUCGCAACUAUACCAUAAUUGUACCAAAAACAACUAUAAGCUGAAUAUUGUUCAACUGGAACUUCCGGUACUUUUUGCAUGUUUCAGUGUGUCGCGUAUUGCCUAUCUAAAGCAUGCCUAAGUGUCGUUUGGUUUUACUCACCAUAAUCACUCUCUGUGGGACAUGAAAUAAGCUGCAGUGCCAUACAGUGUUAUCAAACCCAUCUUGGAGAAACUAUUCAUGCACGUGCGAAACUAUUCCUAAUGUGUUUCAAACAGUAAACUAUGAAGCUGUGUGUUUGUUUAACUAAGGAAAGCUAUAAAUAAGAAAAGCAGCUAGCAAUAACUGAUCAAAUUUGAAUCAUCUGGUUGUUUGAGUAACAAAUAUUUGUUAAGUUUAAGAUUUUGUCGCGGAAUGUCCAGCUAUAGUGUACCACAAAUAUGAUCAUACAAUUUAGGGAUAUGAAAUAAGUGCUACAGCGUAGAUUACACAGGGUUUUCCUGUCAGAUUUUUUUUCCAAUCCUAAUUUAGCAAAAGAGUACUUUAAUACUGUUCAGAAAGGAUGUCUUCGAAGUGCUGCGCGGCCACGACAUCAUCGGGCAGAGUGGUGCAGGAAACAUGGAACAAUUCUUCACAAUAACAGCAUCGCAGCGUCGCUGCGUCCGAUACA